GUGGCUUUGGUGUUGCCUUCUUGUCUGAGCUUUUAUCGGUGCUUCUUUUGUUUUCUAUUUGAGUCAUCAGUGCCCUUUUCCUACGUUCGAGUAGGGGGGUUUACUUCUCUUUUUGUUUGUUUGUUUGUUUUGUUUGCUUUGGUCUUCCCUCACUUUGGGUAGGGAUUUGCUAUUUUUUACUCUGUGUUGUUUUUCUUUAGGUCCAAUGAUGGCAACGGGAGGGAAACUCUAUGGACCUGGUCUAAGGGUGUUUUGAUCUGGCAUUCGAAGAGAUCUAUUGAGACUUGAUGUCGCAACAUGGGACCACACCGAUACGUCCAGUGAUACUACUCCCGUUGGCCGUUAGACAAUGGCUAUGCUCUGUCGUGUCUCUCCUUAUCUAUGUGGAUUGAAGCGCAAGUGCUAUUCUUCUGGCUGAUUAUGUUUACAUAUAGUUGUUUACCGCUUUCUUUUGUGUUGAUUUUUUCUAUGGAUUCCAUCAUUGGUUCGUGUCGUUCUCUGUAAUGCCAUGGGGGGAAUGCGAUCAUGUGCUGGUAGUGAGGUGAUUGAGCAGUUUCUUUGAUGGGAAGGACAGUUGAUUUUAUCAUGAGCAGCAUCAACACCUUAGAAUAUAUUCAUUCCCAGUUCAAACUCCUGAUAGUGCACCUUGCGUGAUUUUCUAGACUCGAUCAAAAUGAGUGUAGGGGAUUGUAUUAAACUUCUUUGAUAAUUGUGUGAUUAUGUAAUUGUUUUGUAGAAAUCAUCAAGCUUAGCAGUGAGGAUUUUGUGAAAAUGAUAUUAUUAGAUGCUACCUUCAUC